rnacentral:rRNA from 1 species
UACUAGCGGUCCAAGUCGCAGACCAUUUUUAUUGGGUCUAAAACAUCCGUAGCUUGUCAAGUUAGUUUUCUAUGAAAUCCCAGGUCUUAAGCUUGGGGCUUGUGGAAAAUACUACUUAACUAGAGACUGGGAGACGUAAGAAGUACGUUCGGAGUAGCGGUUAAAUGUGUUAAUCCCGAAUGGACUCACAAUUAGCGAAGGCAUCUUACGAGAACAGUUCUGACAGUAAGGGAUGAAGGCUAGGGGCGCAAAUGGGAUUAGAUACCCUCGUA